GCCAUUGAAGAUGCAAAGGCUGCCGACCACAAGCCAAUUGAGCGCCGGCCUCAGGCAAGGACCCGACCGCCAAGGCGGAGACCUGUCGCAAAACUACGAGCCAAAGCACGAGGGCCAACAUAGGCCGAAGAACCGCUCGGAGAAGGGCAAGGAAGUGCUACUGCCGCAGGCUGAAGCCGACCAGCAACCAUGGCGCCCAAAUUCGGCCAACACUACCAUCUCCACCGCCGGUAGACUGCCGCCACCCUCCAUAACGCCAAAGAUCACAUGCGGAUAGAUCUGCUCACGAGGACGCUAGAGACGGCCGAGGUGGAGCCGGAUCCACCGUGCCAUCCCUGAUAGUUUUUUGAGAGAUUUGCACCCUUCCAACCGGGACUAAUAUUCAGUUUUCUACUAGUGGUCGGGCACCAAGCCGAGGACGCGGAGGAGCACGUCAUCAUCGAGGUCGCUGAUCAGGUUGAAG
rnacentral:lncRNA from 1 species